CCUACGGGGGUGCAGCAGUGGGGGAUAUUGCACAAUGGGGGGAACCCUGAUGCAGCGACGCCGCGUGGGUGAAGGAGCGUUUCGGCGCGUAAAGCCCUAUCGGCAGGGAGGAAGAUGACGGUACCUGACCAAGAAGCCCCGGCUAACUACGUGCAAGCAGCCGCGGUAAUACGUAGGGGGCAAGCGGUAACCGGAUUUACUGGGUGGAAAGGGGGCGCAGACGGCAAUGCAAGCCAGGAGUGAAAGCCCGGGGCCCAACCCCGGGCCUGAUCUUGGAACUACCUGGCUAGAGUACAGGAGGGGCAGGCGGAAUUCCUAGUGUAGCGGUGAAAUGCGUAGAUAUUAGGAGGAACACCGGUGGCGAAGGCGGCCUGCUGGACUGUGACUGACGUUGAGGCCCGAAGGCGUGGGGAGCAAACAGGAUUAGAUACCCUAGUAGUC
rnacentral:rRNA from 1 species